UGUCUACUACUGUGCUGCCCAGGACGGCCGGGCUGGUCAGCACCCCGACGCCCCGCUGGACGGCCAUGGAACAUCAUCCCUUCGUUUGUGCUGAUGGACAUCCAGGCUUCCACAGUUGUGGCUUAUGUAUACCAACUAAUUGAGGGUGAUGUGAAAGUAGAAAGAAUUGACUUCAAGAAGUACUGAAUGACGCUCAAACCUGCCCGUUGGCUUCUCCCCGCCUUGCAUUCCUUCUCUGUCCGGUGAAGUCGAAGGGGAGGCGGGCCACGGGGGGGUGCUGCUGCUGCGGCGUGCCGGGCUGUAGAGCAGCCGCAUCGCUCUAUUGCUCGUGAGCUUGUGAGAAAACGUUAGUCUUGGUUCCCAACGCGCAGGUGAAGCAGAAGAGACUGCUGAUUAAGAGGCCUGUGGAAAAUACCCUGUGUCUAAGGAGGAGCUGCUGUCUUCCUGGCCUAAGGGAGUCACAGCGGGUGGUGGUAGCUUGGCACCGAAGCUCUUCUGUAAGACAACGGACAUAGAAUAAUAAACUCCUUUCUUUGGG